rnacentral:piRNA from 1 species
UCAAACUUCGAGACUGUAAAGGCCGUUAAAG